UACGGAGGGUGCAAGCGUUGUCCGGAUUUAUUGGGUUUAAAGGGUGCGUAGGUGGCCUGUUAAGUCCGGGGUGAAAGCCCACAGCUCAACUGUGGAACUGCCCUGGAUACUGGCGAGCUUGAGUCCAGACGAGGUUGGCGGAAUGGAAGCUGUAGCGGUGAAAUGCAUAGAUAGCUUCCAGAACCCCGAUUGCGUAGGCAGCUGACUAGGCUGGUACUGACACUGAGGCACGAAAGCGUGGGGAGCGAACAGG
rnacentral:rRNA from 1 species